UACAGAGGGUGCGAACGUUGCUCGGAAUUACUGGGCGUAAAGCGCAUGUAGGCGGAUCCAUAAGUCGGGCGUGAAAUCCCCAGGCUCAACCUGGGAACUGCGCUCGAAACUGUGGGUCUUGAGUGUUGGAGAGGAUGGCGGAAUUCCUGGUGUAGAGGUGAAAUUCGUAGAUAUGGGGAGGAACACCGGUGGCGAAGGCGGCCACCUGGACGGUAACUGACGCUGAGACGCGAAAGCGUGGGGAGCAAACAGG
rnacentral:rRNA from 1 species